GGAGGGUCCUCAAAAUAGUCCCCUCAUUUUACAGAGGUGGAAAUGAAGCCCACAGAGGCCUGCCAUCACACAGGUAUUUAGAAGAUGAAACCCAUGCAGAAAAAGUGGGAAAACAAGUUCUAUUGGUAUAUUACAUAGUGCUCAAAUGAGUAUAGUCACAUGCCAAAAGAUGUAACAGCCCUUCCAGGAAGUGCAGUCUUGUACGGGUUACACAGUAUUUGGACCUCCAUUAUCCUUAUCAUGAAGGCCCUGUUGGCAUGCAGGUAUUAUUACCCCUCAUUUACUGCUAAGGAACAAACCCAAAGAGAUUAAGUGGCUUCUCAAAGGUCAUACGUAGUAAGUGAGGGUGAGGCCAUGACCAGGGCCUAGGGCUUCUCUCAUUGCAUUCUUAGAGAGAGAUAGGAAAGAGAGGCCAGUGCGGGCUGGAGUUAGGAGGCAUUGUAACAUAGCCGUCGUGUUCUAAACUCUGUUCCACUUGCUGAGUCUUGUGAGAUGUUAAUAGAUACUGUUAAUAUAGGAGGAGUCUGUAGUUAACUAAAGUUUUGGAAAUACUCUUGUUAAGUAUAGCUGAAUAAUGGUGACCACAAGUCAUUUUCAAAAUUCUUUUUUUUGAGAUGGAGUUUUGCCCUGUUGCUCAGGCUGGAGUGCCAUGGCACGAUCUUGGCCCACCACAACCUCCACCUCCUGGG